UGGGGAAUAUUGGACAAUGGGCGCAAGCCUGAUCCAGCCAUGCCGCGUGAGUGAUGAAGGCCUUAGGGUUGUAAAGCUCUUUUAGCGGGGAAGAUAAUGACGGUACCCGCAGAAAAAGCCCCGGCUAACUUCGUGCCAGCAGCCGCGGUAAUACGAAGGGGGCUAGCGUUGCUCGGAAUUACUGGGCGUAAAGCGCACGUAGGCGGACUCUUAAGUCGGUGGUGAAAUCCCGGAGCUCAACUCCAGAACUGCCUUCGAUACUGGGAGUCUUGAGUUCGGGAGAGGUGAGUGGAACUGCGAGUGUAGAGGUGAAAUUAGUAGAUACUCGCAAGAACACCAGUGGCGAAGGCGGCUCACUGGCCCGAUACUGACGCUGAGGUGCGAAAGAGUGGGGAGCAAACA
rnacentral:rRNA from 1 species